AAAAGUAUAUGUUUGCGUUUACUUCUGGAAUAAGCAACGAUUUAAGUUUGAGGUUGAGUACUAGAAUUUGAUAAUCAAAAAAAUAUUGAUAAAAAAAUAGAAGUUAGAAAAAUUGUUAUAAUGUUAAAAAUGUAGAGCUUGUGAAAAAAAGAAGAGAAAAAGAAAGUUAAAAUUCGAGUACACAUAAGUGAAAAAAACAAAGAAU
rnacentral:lncRNA from 1 species